rnacentral:misc_RNA from 1 species
UGUGAGAGGGGGCUUGCUCCCGAUAGCGGUGUAUCAGCCUCAGAUGUACCGACUGACUCACGGCUAUCGGGAGCAAGCCCCCUCCCACA